ACUCAAAUGAAUUGACGGGGGCCCGCACAAGUGGUGGAGCAUGUGGUUUAAUUCGAUGAUACGCGAGGAACCUUACCUGGGCUAGAAUGUGCGUGAAGGGUGCAGAAAUGUGCCCGUCCUUCGGGACACAAAACAAGGUGCUGCAUGGCCGUCGUCAGCUCGUGCCGUGAGGUGUUGGGUUAAGUCCCGCAACGAGCGCAACCCCUAUUGUUAGUUGCCAGCGGGUUAAGCCGGGGACUCUAGCAAGACUGCCUCCGCAAGGAGUGAGGAAGGCGGGGACGACGUCAGGUCAUCAUGGCCCUUACGCCCAGGGCUACACACGUGCUACAAUGGCCGGUACAGCGGGUUGCGACACAGCGAUGUGAAGCCAAUCUCUCUAAAGCCGGUCUCAGUUCGGAUCGGAGUCUGCAACUCGACUCCGUGAAGCUGGAAUCACUAGUAAUCGCGUAUCAGCAAUGACGCGGUGAAUACGUUCCCGGGCCUUGUACACACCGCCCGU
rnacentral:rRNA from 1 species